GGCAAUGCAAAAGACAAGUUAUUGUGUGUUUAUUUCUCCAGUGCACUUGCGGCAGCAUGAAGUCCGAGAUCGCUUCACCAGAGAAGCAUGAGUGAUGUUGCUUCUCCAAAUAGAGGUUUAGAUUACCCAUUGGCAAUUCAAACACACCCUUAAUGAAAUUAUCAGCAGAUACCUGCACAAGUGAAUAAACCAGCAAAAUCAUGAAGUACUGGAAACAAUACAAUACAAUGAUUUGGGAGACGCCGUUAUCAUUAAAAACUGACUCCAAGUCGAGAAGUUCCAAAUGAGUUACCCUCACCAUGUUAUGCCAAAUUUCAAUGAACAAAGAAGCUAUUAAUACUGCUUCAGAGUUUUGACUUGACACACCAUAAAACUUCUCCCUAUCUCCUUCCCUUUUUAUUUUGGCUUAAUUACACUUUUGGUCUUCUAGGUAUCUUAAUUAUGCAAUUUUGAUUUCUCAUAUUUCAAUUGUAUCAAUUAGUAUUAUCUUAAUUAUGCAAUUUUGAUUUCUCA